AAAGCCUGAGAAAUGGAAAGAAGGCAAGUAUGGCUACAACAACAGGGCAAGAGAGAGAGAUGGUAGGGGAUGUGGUCAGUGACUUGCACAGAGGGCAUUUAUGUAGGACCCAGUUUGAGUUUGAGUUUUAAUCUGAGUGCAAUGGGAAGUCACUGAAAAUAUGUAAGUAGAAGAGUGCAAGAUUUAAUUUAUGAUCUGAAAGCUCACUCAGGGUAUUGUUUGGAAAGUGGAUUCAAGAAAACCAGGAGUAAAAGAAGAAACAUCAUUCUAGAGUCCAGUACAAAAGUACAGUCAGGACAUAUGGUGCCACAGAGGAGGGUGAUAGUAGGAAAGAAGAAGUGGUUGGCCUGGGGGUACACUUCACAGCUGCCAAGAAGACGUGCGUUGCUGCUGGAGUGUAUGUGGGAGAUGAGAGAGAAGCAGAAAGUAAGGAUCUGUAACCUACAUAAAAUCAAGUGGUUAUUGGUCCUAUUUCCUUUUCUGAUAGAAAGGACUAUGGGGGAAGUUUUAGAGCUCUGGAGUGGGAGUGGAAAUCAAGUGUUCUGUUUGGCCAAAUUAAGUUUGAAUAAGUGUUGUGAUUUCAAACAGUGACAUCAAAUAGGCAGUUGAAUACAGAAAUACAGAGGUCAAUGGAAAGGUCACUGGUAGCAAUUUAAGUAAACCUGGGAGUCACUGACAUAUAAAUAGUAGUAAAAGUCACUGGCCUAGUCUAAUAGAAAACUAGAGAAAGAGAAGAGUGGAAGGCCAAGAACCAGCACUCUAACAUUCGAACAUCAUGCAGAUGUUGAGCAGCCAGAAAAGGAGAUUGAAAAGGAGAAGGAAUGAGGUGGGAGAAGCUUCAGAUAUACUACCAGACUUCAUGCCAUCUGGGAAUAUGCCUUAGUCAUUUAUUGUUGCACCACGAUUGCUGUACAUCACCCUCAUCUUUAAACAGUAGAAGGAAUUUAGAAUUAGAAUGGACAAUGAGUUGGUUAGUGGGAGAUUGGAACUUCAAGAUUAAAGCUGGAAGAUCAGAGGAGCAGAGAAAGCUGGCUUUCAGAAAGAAAUUACUGAAGUAAAUAUACAAAGACAAGCAGAGAAGGAAGUCCCAGUGGACCUCAGCUUCCAGUUUCAGUCACUACCUGAGGCUGAGGGUUCAGCUUAAUGAGAUAACCUUCUUUAAAUCUAGCUUCAAUUCGUAACAGAGCAAACCUAACAGAAUAGAGAAAAGCAGGUCAUGAGGAUGCGUGUGAGCUUUGGGAAACACCACAAUUAAAGGUUAUGAAAAUACAAAUAGAAGAUCAAUUUUGACAAUUACCAGAGGAAAUAGAAGAGUUAAAGGCAAAGAGCCAACAAUAAAGUUGUCGUAUUUCAGACAUGAGAUGGUAGGUAUCUGACUGAAGCUGUAGAAAGAUAAGGCACUUCCAGAAGCAUCUCAGAGGUAUACAUUCAUUCAGUGGGGGUGAAAGGAAGGGCAUGGUGCCAUGCUUCAUCACUUAAUGGCAGCAAUUCCUCAAGCAGAAAAUGAUGUGCCUCCCAGAACUCAUCUUUGGCAGAAACAUGACCCCACAUUGGACAUGACAAGAUUAAUGAAAAUGCAAAUGAGACUCUUUCAGCACUGAUUGAAAUCAAACAAUAAAGUGAUAUCAUGACCUUA